rnacentral:lncRNA from 1 species
GACCAACUCCACACACCAAACAAAGAAAAAGAGAAUAAAAAAAAAAAUGAACUACUUUUCACACAUCCUAAUGCAGUCAAACCGGCUAUCCCUAUUCUCUCUCUUUCCUCAAAACCCACAAACAAUAAAAUUCAUAUACAAAUCUUUGCAUAAAAAUCUUAACAUUUAACUGGAUAAAAAUGAAAGAUCUGAAUCUAACGAAACUGAGUCUAAUCUUGGAUUGCUAUACCUUGUUUACUAUAUGUGGAAGAAAAUGUAUGUUUGUGGAAACUUGAAGUAAACCCAGAAGAGCUGUUCAACAAUGAGAAUUAUUGUGCUGCUGAAGAUGCUGCAUUUUGACUUCAAUUUUGUUAGGGGAAAAGAAAAAGGUUAAGGGAAGAGAGAGAACGAUAGGAGCAGACAACGAAAUUUAGGGGGAUAUGAAAGAACUGGAGUACACUUUUUCGAGGAUUUAGAUGGUCGGCAUGUGCACUGUCCGAAGCUUUUUUUUUUUUGUAUUGGUACAAGAAAAUGUGUUUAGCUUUCUCUCAAUGAUUAUUUUCAUUAUAUAUGAGAAAAUGCUAUAGGAAAUUGGUUCAAAAAAUUAGUUUUGCUACCCUUACAU